UACGGGGGGGGGCAAGCGUUGUUCGGAAUUACUGGGCGUAAAGGGCACGUAGGCGGCCUGCUAAGUCGGAUGUGAAAUCCCUCGGCUCAACCGAGGAACUGCAUCCGAUACUGGCGGGCUUGAAUCCGGGAGAGGGAUGUGGAAUUCCAGGUGUAGCGGUGAAAUGCGUAGAUAUCUGGAGGAACACCGGUGGCGAAGGCGGCAUCCUGGGCUAGCACUGACGCUCAGGCACGAAAGCGUGGGGAGCAAACAGG
rnacentral:rRNA from 1 species